AGAGUUUGAUCAUGGCUCAGGAUGAACGCUGGCGGCGUGCUUAACACAUGCAAGUCGAACGAGGUUAGAGGCUUCGGCCUAUAAUCGAGUGGCGGACGGGUGAGUAACGCGUGAGCAAUCUGUCCUUAAGAGGGGGAUACCAACUGGAAACAGUUGCUAAUACCGCAUAAGACCACGGUAUCGCAUGGUACAGAGGUAAAAAGGAGCAAUCCGCUUAAGGGUGAGUUCGCGUCUGAUUAGGCAGUUGGCGGGGUAACGGCCCACCAAACCGACGAUCAGUAGCCGACCUGAGAGGGUGAUCGGCCACAUUGGGACUGAGACACGGCCCAGACUCCUACGGGAGGCAGCAGUGGGGAAUAUUGGGCAAUGGGGCCGCAAGCCUGACCCAGCAACGCCGCGUGAGGGAAGAAGGUUUUCGGAUUGUAAACCUCUGUCCUAAAGGACGAAGGAAGUGACGGUACUUUAGGAGGAAGCCCGGCUAACUACGUGCCAGCCGCCGC
rnacentral:rRNA from 1 species